rnacentral:lncRNA from 1 species
AUGCCCUGCUACCUCCCUCCACUGACUUCCCUCCAGACGUGUACCACCACCCCCCCCCCGUCUUGUCCCCAGCUUCCCUCCACACUGUCUGCCCCCAAAACGUUUCUUCUCCCGUCUGUUUCCAUACCUCAGCUGCCGCUCCAAGAACGCUCCCUCACCCCCUCACCCGGGGCCCUCUACUUCACACACGCUCCGCUCCACCUGCCCCCUGCAGGGUCCAACCCAGUUUCCUGUUGCUGCUCCCGCACCCACACCUAUACCUCCCCCGAGAACCCUCUCCGUCUCACUCAUCUCUGUCAGCCGCUGAAUACCGCGCACACGUCCCGUGCAUCGCCCCCACCCCCCUGCUCCACCGCCCUCACUUCCCUCAAACUCUGGCCCGGCUCCAGUCACCUUCCUCCUCCUGCCCCGCGCGGCUCUCCCCUGAGCACCACUCACCAGAGACGCCGGCCUUCUCCCUCAGCAGGUCCUCCCUCCGCACGUCCCACGGGUCCAGCCUCAACACUGUCCUGCGUCCUCCUCGCCGUCCCCGCACGCCUCCUGGCCGGGCACCGUCCUCACGUCCCUCCGAGGCCUCUGAGCCUCGGGGCCUCUGGGCCUCCCCUCACCCCUCACCCCUCACACACGCCUCGCGCCUGCACACCUCCACGCCCCUCCCGCCCCUCCGGGCACCCCUGCGCCCCCGCAGCCCCUCCCCGCACCACCCUCCCCUACCUGCACACCUUUCUCCACGCCUCCCCUCCUGCCGCCCGGCUCCCGGCCCUCACACGCAGCCCCGGCCGGGACAUCCGCCCCUCCCGCCCCUCCCGCCCCUCCCCCGGGCCCCCACACCCUCCCCGCACUCCCACCACGCUCGCCCCUCCCUCCCCGGACCCCCCUCGCACCCCCGCCCCCCGGCCGCCCUGCGCCGCCCCCGCGCUCGCCCCCGCGCUCGCCCCGGCCCGGGUGGGCCCUCGCGCCCCGCUGGGCCGGAUCCCUCCACCGCUCAUUCUUCCCCAGGUCUGCCCACACCCUCCGCCGGCCCUGCCCCCAUUGUCCUCCAACACCUGCCCAAGCCCCUCGCCGUCACCCCCACCGGGGCCCCCGCGCCGCGCCCCCCGCCCGCGCCCUCCCCUCACUCGGGGCCGGGACCCGCGAGCCCCCGAGGGUGAGGACGCGAGGACGCCCGCCCGCCCGCCGCCCGCCGCCCGCCGCCCUGGCCCUGACCCGAAGCGGCCGCGGCAGCGCAGCGGCGGCCACCAUGCCGGAGCCACGGCGCCCAGGACUGCUCCCCGCUCUCCGCCCGGGCCGCCGCCGCCGCCGCCGCCGCCGCCGCUGCUAAGGACGCACAACAAACAAUGCGGGGCCCGGGCCGGCUCCGCCAACCGCCUCGGCCGCCUCGGCCGCCUCAGCCGCCUCAGCCGCCUCAACCGCCACCUUAACCGCCGCCCGCCCGGGACGGCCCGCCGCGCAGGCGCCUACCCGAACCGCCGCGCUCUGCCUGCGCCCGGUCCCCGCGCCCGCUCCCGCUCCGCCGCCGCCGCCACCUCGUCCGCCCGCGUCCCCGGCUCCUCAGCCCAGCGGCGGCGGCUGCGGCGGCUGCUGCCCUGGUGGCGCUCGCGGCUCCGCUCUCCGCUUCGGCGGCGGCGGCGGCGGCGGCGGCGGCGGCGGCGAGCACGUGACGCCGCCCGGCGCGCCCAUUGGCCGACGCCGGGGGGCGGGCCCCGCGGCUGCUGGGGAACGGAAAGCCCGCCCCCUCGCUCGCCGCGCGCCCCCUCCACGCGCCCUCCGCCGUACCUGAGAGCGCCCGCCCGCGCCGGCCCGCCCGCCCGCCCGCCCGCCCGCGCCGGCCGCACCGCCGCCUGCGCCGACUGCGCACCUGGGAGCGCGCAGGAGCCACCCGCCGCUGGAGGCCGCGUGCACCUGCGAGCGGACGCUUACGGUUACUCCUGGCGCUUCUUUGGUGCAGCAUUCUGCCAGCCCAAAACUGAGCCCUUCGCUGAGUACCUGGUGCAUGUCAGGUGCUAUGCUGGGUGUCUGGAUGCACAAGCGAAUGAGACCAGGUCCUUGCACUAA